UUGCCAAAACCCAUGGAAUUGUACACUUAGAAAUGGCUAAUUUUAUUGCAAAUUACAUUCCCAUUAAGUUAAAAAAAAAUAGAAACCACAUGCUACAUCCAUCCUCCCUCUGUCUGACAUAUCCAAAAUAUUGGGUAAUAUAUGGAAUCUGUAGUUUGGUUUUUUCCUUUAUGAUAUGGACUAAUGCAUCCUAUUCUGCCUCUUUAUUGACAGAGGUUGAGAGAAAUCAAAGUGUGCAGGUGAAAGGCUUUAUGACGUCUUAGAUACUAUGUGACAAUAUGACUUGGUAUUGUUCCCUCGCGGACGGGGAACAUUUGAGAGGUUUCAUAAUUUGAGAGGCCUCAUAACCUUUUGGUUUUUGAUGUCCUUGUAAAAAGGGCGGCCUCAGAGUGGGAGCCAGAGCUCCCAAGUUCGGCUCAGCUGUUUCAGAGGAGCCCCGCCGUCUGCUGUAUAUGUGAACCAAGUAGAGGAGAAGAAUAUCUUUUGAAGAUUUCUGCCAAUGAUCACAAAUCCCUAAACAAAUAGUGAGCUCAUGAUCCUUGCAGCUGGAUGCUGAGGGCAGUCUCCCACCAGCCCAGGGACACAGCGAGCCAUAGAUGGUCAGCUUUGGGCUCAAUAUGCCACCAAUUCCAAAGCCAUCCAGGAAGGAGCGGAAGUGGGACAGAUGAUCUGUCUCAUCACACUCACAGCGGCCAGCGUUGGACACCUGGUCACCAUCUGCACUGGGCCACACUUAUGGAGAACAGCUGUGCACCAUCCUGUUCGCAAGCCCUUUCGCUUGGUCUGAGAGUCAGUCUCUUCAUCUGCUGGCUGGGUGAACAAUGCUUAUGACAUUAAAGCAUGUCCAUGGUGGGAUAUUUUAAAAAUAAUUAUUAAAAAAGUUAAAGCAUCUUUACAAUUUAAAAAUAUAUAAAGAAAAGAAAAAGAAAACCACCAUGAAUGCCACUGUUUUUAUUAUUUAAAUAUGCAUAUUUUCUAAUCAUAUAAAUAUCCACUGAAACUGGACCACAAGGUCUUUAAAGGACUCGUUGAGUUGGAAUUUGACCAAUUUUUCCUAAAUUAUCCUUCUGAAGAGUGUCCCUCAGGGCUGGCUCUUCCCAAUAGGCUUUGACCAAUGCAGAGCUCUAUGGAAACUCUCUUACUGUCCUCAGAUGGCUUGGCUUUUUUAAACAAUGAUGUUUAAAUUUCUCAAUAUCUACCACUCAUAGUUGCUGCAUGCAGAAAAUUGGAAGGCAGAGUAAGAAAAUGCCAACUCUAAUCCCACUCCCCGAAAUAGUCACUGCUGUAGCUUGGUGCGCGCCCUAGAUUUUCCCCCAUGGUUAUUUUUCCAUAAAAAAAAAAAUCAGUUAAAUAUUCGGCUUAUAGCCUGGUUUGUAAAUGCUUCCUGGUGUUGAUAGUUUUCAACAACAGGCAUUUCAGUGCUGUCUGUAAUUUUGUUAGAGGAAUAUGCUGAAGUUAUCCAGCCAAG
rnacentral:lncRNA from 1 species